UACGGGGGGAGCAAGCGUUGUUCGGAUUUACUGGGCGUAAAGGGCGCGUAGGCGGCGCCGCAAGUCGACUGUGAAAUCUCCGGGCUUAACCCGGAAAGGUCAGCCGAUACUGCGGGGCUAGAGUGCAGAAGGGGCAACUGGAAUUCUCGGUGUAGCGGUGAAAUGCGUAGAGAUCGGGAGGAACACCUGUGGCGAAGGCGGCCGACUGGGCCGACCCUGACGCUGAGGCGCGAAGGCGUGGGGAGCAACAGGAGUAGAUAUCCAG
rnacentral:rRNA from 1 species